UAAUACGUAGGGUGCAAGCGUUGUCCGGAAUUAUUGGGCGUAAAGAGCUCGUAGGCGGCCUGUCGCGUCGGCUGUGAAAACCCGGGGCUCAACCCCGGGCCUGCAGUCGAUACGGGCAGGCUAGAGUCCGGUAGGGGAGACUGGAAUUCCUGGUGUAGCGGUGAAAUGCGCAGAUAUCAGGAGGAACACCGGUGGCGAAGGCGGGUCUCUGGGCCGGAACUGACGCUAAGGAGCGAAAGCGUGGGGAGCGAACAGGAUUAGAUACCCUGGUAGUCCACGCCGUAAACGUUGGGCGCUAGGUGUGGGGGACCUUCCACGGCCUCCGUGCCGCAGCUAACGCAUUAAGCGCCCCGCCUGGGGAGUACGGCCGCAAGGCUA
rnacentral:rRNA from 1 species